rnacentral:lncRNA from 1 species
GCGCCUGGGCCAGCUCUGCAGCAAUCUUCUCGUUUUCCUCUCGAGCCUUGGCGAGCUCGUCCACGGCGUCGUCCCUCUCCCUCUCGACCUUUCCAAGGAGAACCUCCCGAUCAGCCGAUCUCUUCUCAAGGUUCUCCACCUUGGCUGCAUCCGCUUUCAUCGAUGCCUCCAAGUUGGCCACCUUAAGCCUGUAAGGAACCAGCUUGCUCUCCAGCUCGAUUUUCUCUUGAGCUAGGAGGUGCAGCUUCUGGCGCAGAUCGGAGGCCUCCUUGCGCGCAACCCUCAACUCGGC